CAUUGGCCUAGAAUAUGAGAUCAAAGUCUCAAUGAGUCCACGAUCUUCUGAUUUGGAGGCAAGAAGGCUACCAGGAGAAGGGAAGUAAAGUAGGAAGGAUGCGAUUUGGGGGUCUUACACUGGCUCAGUGAAUGACCAGGAAGAUGAUGCAAGAAACUACGAAGGUUGAAGAGAGCAGGCGAGAGGACAAAAGGAUCAAGAAAAUCACAGGGAGACGCUACCUUGUGUGGAGGGCACCAAGACAGUGGAAGAGAACAAGAUUUAGAGUUGCAAAGGGGAAUU